CUAGUUUAUAACUAUUCUGAGAUUCUACUAAGUGUUCACUAUAUAGGUCUCUUACACUGGAGGUCAGGAGGUUCCUGAGGACAUGAUUCUGAUGCAGGAUUUUUCUCACUUUGCAAGCGGGUAACCUCUGGCCAGCAACGCCCCCACCCAGGCCUUGCUUGGGUAUGCUAUCUGCUACAGGAGGUGGUCCACCCAUUCAGCCUGCCUGGGCCACACCUGGCUUGUGCACCAGUUCAGGCCACACCUGGGCUGGGCAUGCUCCAGCUCACCUUUAUUAUAGCUCGUAUCCACAUUUGACGGUUUCCAAGUCCUUGUCCCACAUCCGGGAAGAAUGGGGAUAUGCUGACAAUUGAAGGGUGAGGAGGGCGAAGAAUUUUAUUGAGCGACGAAACAGCUCCUUGUGGAGAGGGGAAGCAGGGGUGGUUCCCCCAGCUGAAGUCAGAAAGGCGUACUCUUUGCCUUUGCCAAUACACGACUUCCACUCCUAUGGAGUUAAGCUGAGAAACAUGACUUCAUAGACCAUGAGAAUUGCAUGCAGGCUGAAAUUAUGGAGAACAAGCUCCUCAUUCACAGAUGAGACUGAAAAUUCUAGUGCGUGAGGAGGAAGUGGAGCAAGAUGGUCUAACAGAAGCCUCCUGUGAUCUUCCCCUCCCCAUGCAGGAACACCAAAUUGAGGAACUAUCCACAAAACAAAACAAAACAAAAACAUUUCAUAACAUUCAAAAGUCAGGUUUGGCUCAUGAUCAAUAAUGAAGAGUUGAAUUGCACCAAGGUGAUGCUGUAGCGAGGUACCACAACCUAGGUGGCUUAAAUAAGUGGAAUUGGUUGUGGUAUAGCUCUGGAGACUAGAUCAAGUUGUCGGCACCACUGGCUCCUUCUGAGAACUGUGAGGGAAAAAUCUGUUCCAGGCUUCUUCUUUUGACUUUUAGAUGGCCAUCUUCUUCCUGUGUCUUGUGAAAGGAAAAUAAAUCUCAGGACCCCAAAAUCACCAAGCCGAAGGGAAAAGUCAAGCUGGAAACUGCCUCACACAAACCUACCUCCCAUUUUGUUCCUAAAUAAGAUAGCUACGAAAAAGAAAAGGCCACAUACCUCCCUCACAAUUUGCCCACUAGGAAAUUCCUUGUGGGCCCCAAGAUCCUUACCCUAAAACAGUUCUGUUGAAUUUCACCCUGACAAUGUUAAUUGAUAACUUAUCUUCAAAGGUAUGGGAGAAAGGACAGAACUCAAAGUCAUCCCUCUGCUCCCCUGAGACAAAUGCAUAUCUGAUUGCUUCUUCUGCCCUAUGUUUAUUUUAUCUUAUGUAAAAAUACAGAUUCACUGAGUUAGAAGAAUGCAUAAGUGACUAUUCCUCUACCCCCCCACUUUCACAUGCGAAUGGCUGAUCAAAGACUCAAAAGAAUGCAACCAUUUGCUCCUUAUCUACACAUACCUUUAAAAAAUGUUUUUGUCUUUCCUCAGUAUCCACCCUUUCUCCUAUAAAUAUUUAAGCCCUAAAAAUCAGCUUUGGAGAAAGGCACAGACAUGUCUCCUUACCACGCAUCCUGAACCUUGGCAAAAUAAACUUCUAAAUUGAUUGAGACUUGUCUCAUAUGCUGUUUGGUUUACAGUCCUUUCACAUGGAAUUCUCUUUGGGUACAUGCCUCUGUGUCCCAAUUUCACUUUACUACAAGGACCCUAGACAGCCCAUCCUAAUAACCUCAUCUUACCUUAACUUAUUAUAUCUGUAAUUAAUCUAUUUUUCAAAUAAGGUCACCUUUU
rnacentral:lncRNA from 10 species